UACGUAGGGACCGAGCGUUGUCCGGAAUUAUUGGGCGUAAAGAGCGUGUAGGCGGCUUGUUAAGUCUUGCGUGAAAUCUCGGGAGCUCCAACCCGAGCGGUCGUGAGAAACUGGCAGGCUAGAGUGCGGGAGAGGAGAGUGGAAUUCCUGGUGUAGCGGUGAAAUGCGCAGAUAUCAGGAAGAACACCCGUGGCGAAGGCGGCUCUCUGGGACGCAACUGACGCUGAGACGCGAAAGCGUGGGGAGCAAACAGG
rnacentral:rRNA from 1 species